GCUACGCAAGGGCAGAACCGCUGAAAGGCGGUGACGCAAAGCCUCCGGUCCGAACGCGCGAGGGCGCAGGAUAGCGGGGUUGCCGGU
rnacentral:ncRNA from 1 species